rnacentral:rRNA from 1 species
AUUGAACGCUGGCGGCAUGCCUCACACAUGCAAGUCGAACGGUAACGCGGGGCAACCUGGCGACGAGUGGCGAACGGGUGAGUAAUGCAUCGGGACGUGCCCAGUUGUGGGGGAUAACUGCUCGAAAGAGCAGCUAAUACCGCAUACGACCUGAGGGUGAAAGCGGGGGAUCGCAAGACCUCGCGCAAUUGGAGCGGCCGAUGUCGGAUUAGCUAGUUGGUGGGGUAAAGGCCCACCAAGGCGACGAUCCGUAGCUGGUCUGAGAGGACGACCAGCCACACUGGGACUGAGACACGGCCCAGACUCCUACGGGAGGCAGCAGUGGGGAAUUUUGGACAAUGGACGCAAGUCUGAUUCAGCCAUGCCGCGUGCGGGAAGAAGGCCUUCGGGUUGUAAACCGCUUUUGUCAGGGAAGAAAUCUCCUGAGUUAAUACCUCGGGAGGAUGACGGUACCUGAAGAAUAAGCACCGGCUAACUACGUGCCAGCCGCCGCAGUAAAAC